ensembl:lncRNA
CGCACUAGCAGCUCUAACUGCACUCACACAGGUCUAACUGCACUCGCACUAGCAGCUCUAACUGCACUCGCACGAACAGCUCUAACUGCACUCGCAGCUCUAACUGCACUCGCCACUAACAGCUCUAACUGCACUCGCACUAGCAGCUCAUACUGUGCGAUUUUGGCAACAACAUCGGACUCUGUCGUCUUUGCUGUUUCCUUUUUCUCUGCGGCGGUUGUAAACACUUCCUGUUCCAGCGCGGUUUCAUGUUCGCUUAGAUUAAAGUUUUGAAACUUUGGGACUACGUUGUUUACAUCGGUUUGAUCCUUAAACAAGACUUGGGUGAAGAAUUUCUGUUGGGAAUCCUCGACUUCACGCUGUCUGGAAGCUUCGCUCGAAGCAAAGUUAACGGAAAUGAGCUUCUUAUUGUAAGUAACGGUGGCUAGCUAACUAGUCAGACCUCUGUCUGUUAUUAUGCAGCGACGUGGUGGUUGUUUGGAGAUAACUAGAGAUAUUUUGGUGGGAUAAUCCCCGCUGAAUCGAUGUAAACCAUCACUAAACAGUCAGUAAUAGACUAACUAGUUACUAGCCCAUAGUUAGAGUAACUUUCCUGUCUCCUCAUGUGGCUCAGGCCAGCUUUAUGAGUAACGUUAGUUAGCCAACACAGCUACAACCACGGUAAGAUUUAACAAAUAUAUCAAAUAUUAGUUUUUAUAUUAGCGUAUACAACACUAGUGUAAGUUUAUAUUUGAAACAUCAAUCCCCUGGACGCCUUUAUUAGGCCGUGUUUUCUCUUCCUCGAAGGCUCUCCAUGAAGCUUCCGCUAAAGCACUUAAGAUGAAUAAAUGAAGUUAUAAACCAUCUGUCG